UGUAUAAACUGUCUGUUUGGUUAAAGUUCUUCAUAAGCAUCAGCUUACGUAUUAUAAAUUUGAUUAUCCUCAAUAGAAUAUGAAAUUGAACCAUGAUUUUAUGUUACGAUGUGUGUCAUGUGCAGGGUUUAUGAAGAGUCAUGAUGUUUUCAGAACAUAUAUUUUAGCCCUGAGACAAGUUCAGUUGUAUCAACGACAUAUACGAGGUAAGGUGUCAUGAGAGUCUGUGAAGGUAAAUGAGACUAUGUUAUCCAUGGUUCGAUUGUGAACAGGUCGCCAGUGCAUUGCAGGAGAGCUACACUUACUAUUUGUGUAAGUGGCGGGUGCUACCGCUAGAUUAGGACACUACCUUUCCGCGAACGCCUGGUCUCAUCACUGUUUUACAGUGAUCCAUUUAUAUAUUUUUCAGAACUAUGUUGUCUUUUACGCCCAAGGGAACCUGUUGCGGUUGAUAAUCAAGACUGAUUAUGAUUGUUUUGGGUUUGGAUGUAUUUCUUAGACAGGUGAUGUAGCUAAAGUCAAAACGUUGAUGACAACCAUGGAUGUGAUUGGUCUCACAACAAUUUCCACCAGUGGCUUUGGUUGUUUUGAUAAAAUGUGUUAACAUCUUCUUUUUCCCUCCUGGUGCCCAUUGUGUUACCUGAUUGUAACCUUGAUUUCUAUGCUCGAUGAAUGUUUUCCAAGUCCAAAUUCACUCACGACUAGUGUUAUAAGUAGGACAGGUUAUAUGAACUGCUUUCGAAAACAACUGUUACGGUUUACUUUGAUUCAUGAGUAUAGAAAUAAGAAUUCCAUUUUGUUUGUUGACUUUUUUGCUGUCUGUUGUGACAGAUUCAUCAACAUAAAGACACGUGUACAUAGAAGGUAUUGAAGUUUUAAUGUCUUCUUAAUCCAGGCUCCAUACAACACUGUGCAGUAUGAGAUCAACAGCCCCCUGUCCAGUCCUCUUGGACGCCUGUACUUCAUGGUGGAUCCAAACACUGGCGACGUCAGCCUUAGGUGCUAUCUGGACUCGGACACAAGCUACACUAGUGUAUACACAUUGGUUGUUGAUGCAGUAGAUGGAGGCGGUAGAAGGGCAAACCUGCCUGCCAAUGUUAAAAUCACCGUGGACAGAAAGACACCGCUGCAGCCUACUAAGGACAACAAUACCAUGUCACUCAGAGCCUCUGUCUGUUGUCAGGAACCUCUACCACCGUACUGGGGUGGAAGCAGUAAGAUUUAUAUCACUUAGGUACUCAGCACCAAAGGUACUCGAGUUCCAUCAUAUAAAACAAUGAUAUUUAAACAGUCACAAUUUGCUAAAUACUUAAAUUUACAAUACUAUCUGGUUACAAUAUGUCAUAAGCGUCUUCAUCUGUCCGAGGUAGAUUUCAAUGAAGAGGAAAGUCUUCACGCAUGCAAAAAAUAUUCUGUGAUUAUUUGUAUUCCUGCUGAGCACAUUACGAUGCUGAUACUUCAGUGCUACUUUUCAAUGAUCUAAUGAAAUUAAUUUUAGUAGGUUGAUAUUCUCCCUAAAGGGAACGACCAUAAAACUUGCAAAGGAAGUUCAAAUCUAGAAAGUGUCAGUCCAUCACCUAUCUACGGGGUCCGGUACAUGUCAAUGAAUGAGUUGGAUGGAAGUGUGUGUGUGUGAAUAUAUAUUUAUCACUGUGUUCAUGUUUACAUGUAUCAUUCGUAUUUUUGUUGACAGUUGUCAAAGUAUGCUUCGAUUGAUAAUUGUAUAUUGAUAUCAAUAUUAUAUUUUACAAUGUUUAACACAUAUACUUUUUCUUCAGAACAACUGUUUUGCUCAACCAUUUCCAAUGCUGUUUUUGCAGUUGACACAAACGAUGUGCAAUGGUAGAAUAUUACUGUAUGUGUAUUCUAGUCAUUUCUGUAUUCAACCAUCUUAUGCACUGAGGGAAUACAAUAUCGGAAUCAUAUAUGUGUAUGAGGAAGCAAGUAUCAUGCAAGGGGGGGAAUGAUUAUCCAGUAUUUAUUUAUUAAUAUAUUUAUUAAUUUGUUUGUUUGUUUAUUUGUUUGUUUGUUUGUUUAUUUAUUUAUUUAUAUUCUUGUGCAUUUUUUAAUGAUGUAUUGAAACAUACACCAUAUAUGUUUAACUUGCAAAGUGACUACCAUAGGUCUUAACUACCAAGACGUCAGAUGAAUUAGAAACAGUGCUUGGUAAGAAAUUGCAUUAUGUUUGAUUCUAUCAUAAUGUCAUUGCUAAGAAAUAUUAUCAAACAGGUUACACUGUAGGUAUAAAACUGACCCUUUGCCGUAGCACUGUUUUUAUCAUUAUCAAUAUAAUAAGAGCUUUGUCACUUUUAUGUAACCCUGGGCUUGUUCACUUCUCUCUUUUUUCAGGGAUCCAAUCAUGAUUGUCAGCGCUAUUUUGCCUUGUUUACGCCCAAUAAACCCUGCCACUCCAAACUAUCUCGCGUAGGCUGAUAUCAAAAUGGCAAUCUGGAGUAGCUUUAGGACUCAGGAAUCAUCACUGUUGCUUUCUACAAUUAACUGCGUUUUACUCUUUUCUGAUAGAGCAUCCAUGUAUCAGGUAAGUCACAUCAAAUGUCACAGGUAAGCGUAAACGUGAACCAAGGAUAUGCCACACCCCGGCGAACAAUGGACAUGGCGCACCCUAAUGAAAUGCCUAUGGGUAAUGGCGGACAAGACAAAGAGUCGACCCAUGAAAUAGAUUGGUGAGCUGGAAAAUAUACGGUGGGUAACAGAAUAGUAUAUGUCAUAAAGUGAUUUCUUUCGUCAGUUUAAUACCACAAAGAAGCCUGGGUUCCUGUCGUGUAUUCACCAAGCCAGCAGUAUUGGGGCAAAUCAAACACACUUAGAAUUUGUUUAAAGUUCAACCAGAAAGCAAUCUGCUGAUAGAAUGCCAAGGGGAGUCGUGCUUCCCGAUUAUAGCAGGUCAUAUCGGGGCCUUCCUCACGUUCAGCUUCAUUCAACAGAAAGGUAAAACGUGUAAGUUAUAUACUUAUAGAUAAAGAAAUAAUAACAUUAAAGUUGAUUCAUCAUCUCAAUUUGGUGUAUGGUAGUGUAUUAACGCUCGUCAUACUCAUUUGAGAACACUGUGAAACAUUACAGAUUUAUGUGCGGAACGAGGACAAUGGCAGACCCAAACUGUAUGACCUCGCCCUUGUUGAACUCACCAUCAACGGGAACCGGAACCGGAACCUUCUAGAGACCAGGCCAACUGGAGACGUUGUUCUCAGAGUGACAUCUUCGGAUGCCGAUAACCUGGACCCAUGUGACCCAUCGAAAAGGAGUCGCCCUACCUGUUUCCUGACAAACCUGGAGGCAUCCCCAAUAUUCAGAGUGUCCACUCUCUCUCACACACGCUCACACACGUAGGGCCCCAGUAGUAAACAUGUGAAAGAAGUCGACUUAUGAGAAUAGAAUGGUUACAGAGUUUGACCUGGUUGAUUGUGUGUCAAAGUGUAUGGUUGUUCAUUACUUCAGUCACUAGUUUGCCCGACCCGUAAAGAUCCGGGUUAGAAUAAGCCUUCAGCAACCCAUGCUUGUCUUAAAAGGCGACUAAAGGGAUCGGGUUGUCAGACUCGCUGACUUGGUUGAUGCAUAUCAUCGUAUCCCAAUUGUCUUGAUUCUAUUCUUUUACGGACCGCCGUCACAUAGCUGGAAUAUUGCUGAGUCGGUGUUAAAAAACAACAAACAACCAGUUUUCCUAGUCCAGAUUUGCUUGUUUACAGGUCAUAACUAGCUGCAAUAUAGCUGCAUGCGGCAUUAGAAUGCAUUAACUCAGAUCUUGUGUACAUUGUUUAUCUUAUGAAUUAAUUCACAUAUUUGUAACCCAAUAAACAAUUGUUGUAAACUU